rnacentral:lncRNA from 1 species
CGUGUAUAUGCACCAUUGAGUCACUUUGCGGUACAGCAGAAAUUAACAUGAAACUGUAAGUCAACUCUACUUCAAUAAAAAAGUUUUUAAUUCCAAGAAAAAAAAAUUUAGGAGUUCCCUUGUGGCUCAGUGGGCUAGGGACCUGAAGCUGUCUCUGUGAGGAUGCAGGUUCGAUCCUUGGCCUUGCUCAGUGGGUUAAAGAUCUAGUCUUGCCACAAGCUAUGGUGGAGUUUGCAGACGAGGCUCGGAUCUGGUGUGGCUGGGGUUGUGGCAUAGGACUGCAGCAGUACCUCUGAUUCAACCCCUAGUCUGGAAACCUCCAUAUGUGGCAGGUGUGGCCCUAAAAAGGAAAAAAAAAGAAUUUUAAUAAGUGGUUUUUUUAAAAAAAAAGAGUAGAAUAUUUCCCUGUGCAUCUUGGCCAAUGUCUCUGCCAAGGGGACCUGUUUCCGCCCAGGCCAGCUCUCCUUCUAGAUCAGGGAGCCAUAGUCUUGAGUUCUAGAGCUGUGGCCUUUCCGGAUGCCUGCUGGACCAAGGUGUUGGGUGCUGCCCUCUUGCCCCUGUGGCCCGUUUCAACCAGCAUCCUGUCUGAAAGACAGCGCCUUCCUGGGUCCACAGCUGGGCCAAGAGUUCCUUCCACCCUUUGCUGGACACAAGCUUGGAAGUCUCUGUGCUGCUUCUGGGAGGUGCGAGGCCCCCUGCAGUGCCCGGGGCACACCCCGAGAAGGAAAGUGUUGGACUAUCCCCGCCUGCGUUCAGGUUGAGAAGUGGGCCUGGUGUGGAUUCUGCAGUGGGAUCCCCGAUGUUGGCUGGAGGAGUGAACACGGGGCGCUCGUGGGCUUUCUAACCCUUGGAGGUGGGUGCCCGAGGACAAAAAAGGGGUCCAGCUCAACCGUUGGUCCCCAGAACUGCUCCUAAGCCCCGUCAAUGAGGAAGGAUUCCCGCUCUCCCUAAGCCAGUCUAUGCCCCAGCCCUGGCAGCAGGGUUAAUUGGUCCAGAAAUAACUUAAUUACAGAAUGCACGGCACGGAGAAUUUCGACAGCAUCUUCCACCGAGUGAUUCCUUCCCUUCACCUUGCCGUGCAUGUGCCCGACGUGCCUUUAAUGGGAUCGCGGCAGAGAGCUUACAGUAAAAGCCUCACAGGCCAAGAGAGGACCACAUUUUGCUGCAGCAAGAUACAAAAAAAAAAAAAAA